rnacentral:rRNA from 1 species
CCCUAUUAUUCACUUUGGAUGUAUAAGUGAGUGGUCAGUGAUGAUAAAACAUAAAAUAUGGCGGUAAUUGAGAGGUUUAGAGGUAUAUGUGGAGUAAAAAUGAUAAGGCACAAACAUCUAUUCUGAUCUAAAAAUAAUCAAUUUAAGUUGGAUUAAUUCUUAUUCCAAUGUUACUCUGUAUACCGCUAUCUGAAUCGAUGUAAAGUAAAAAGUUUAUAUCUUUUCUCUGAAAUUUAAAUCAUUCAUUUAUCUGUUUGAUGAAAAUUAUUUUGGUAGAAGUAAGUUAAGUAAAGGUACAGGUCAUGAUCAGAUAUCCAUGUAUUUUUGGAUAUAAAAUUAUGAAGUUGAUUCAAAAUGAUGAUACUUUAACAGAAUUUAAGAGUAAAAACCCCUAAUUAUUGGGUUUUGAAAUCCUCAAUCUUUUACGUACACAUCGCCC